rnacentral:rRNA from 1 species
GAUGAACGCUGGCGGCGUGCCUAAUACAUGCCAGUCGAGCGAACGGACGAGAAGCUUGCUUCUCUGAUGUUAGCGGCGGACGGGUGAGUAACACGUGGAUAACCUACCUAUAAGACUGGGAUAACUUCGGGAAACCGUAGCUAAUACCGGAUAAUAUUUUGAACCGCAUGGUUCAAAAGUGAAGGACGGUCUUGCUGUCACUUAUAGAUGGAUCCGCGCUGCAUUAGCUAGUUGGUAAGGUAACGGCUUACCAAGGCAACGAUGCAUAGCCGACCUGAGAGGGUGAUCGGCCACACUGGAACUGAGACACGGUCCAGACUCCUACGGGAGGCAGCAGUAGGGAAUCUUCCGCAAUGGGCGAAAGCCUGACGGAGCAACGCCGCGUGAGUGAUGAAGGUCUUCGGAUCGUAAAACUCUGUUAUUAGGGAAGAACAUAUGUGUAAGUAACUGUGCACAUCUUGACGGUACCUAAUCAGAAAGCCACGGCUAACUACGUG